rnacentral:rRNA from 1 species
AUUAAAGCUUCGGCACUUUGAGAUGGGCGUGCGGCUGAUUAGGUAGUUGGUAGGGUAACGGCCUACCAAGCCAACGAUCAGUAGCUGAUGUGAGAGCAUGAUCAGCCACACGGGCACUGAGACACGGGCCCGACUCCUACGGGAGGCAGCAGUGAGGAAUAUUGGUCAAUGGAGGAAACUCUGAACCAGCCAUGCCGCGUGAAGGAUGAAGGUCCUCUGGAUUGUAAACUUCUUUUAUAGAAGAAGAAACCCCAGUAUUCUUAUUGGGUUGACGGUACUCUAUGAAUAAGCACCGGCUAACUCCGUG